rnacentral:rRNA from 1 species
GAGGGAAAGGUGAAAAGAACCCCGGGAGGGGAGUGAAAUAGAACAUGAAACCGUGAGCCUACAAGCAAUGGGAGCCCGACUAAUCGGGUGACCGUGUGCCUGUUGAAGAAUGAGCCGGCGACUUAUAGGCACUGGCAGGUUAAACCGGAAAUGGUGGAGCCAUAGCGAAAGCGAGUCUGAAUAGGGCGAUCGUCAGUGUUUAUAGACCCGAACCCGGGUGAUCUAACCAUGGCCAGGAUGAAGCUUGGGUGAUACCAAGUGGAGGUCCGAACCGACUGAUGUUGAAAAAUCAGCGGAUGAGCUGUGGUUAGGGGUGAAAUGCCAAUCGAACCCGGAGCUAGCUGGUUCUCCCCGAAAUACGUUGAGGCGUAGCGUCUAGUGCUCCAGCAGGGGGGUAAAGCCACCAUUUCGGUGCGGGCUGCGAGAGCGGUACCUAAUCGAGAUGAACUCUGAAUACCCUGUGUGUAACUAGGCAGUCAGACUGUGGGGGAUAAGCUCCAUAGUCGAAAGGGAAACAGCCCAGACCGCCAGCUAAGGUCCCUAAGUUAACACUAAGUGAUAAAGGAGGUGGGAUUGCACAGACAACCAGGAGGUUUGCCUAGAAGCAGCCAUCCUCAAAGGAGUGCGUAAUAGCUCACUGGUCGAGCGAUCCUGCGCCGAAAAUGAACGGGGCUAAGUGUUGUACCGAAGCUGCGGAUUUAACUUGUUAAAUGGUAGGGGAGCGUUCUAUGUGGGGCGAAGCGUUAGCGUAAGCGGGCGUGGACUGCAUAGAAGUGAGAAUGUCGGCUUGAGUAGCGAAAACAUGGGUGAGAAUCCCAUGCCCCGAAACCCUAAGGGUUCCUCCGGCAGGCUCGUCCACGGAGGGUUAGUCUGGACCUAAGGCGAGGCCGAAAGGCGUAGUCGAUGGACAACAGGUCAACAUUCCUGUACCGGUUAUGUUUUGGGAAGGGGGACGGAGAAGGCUAGCCAAGCCAGAUGUUGGUUACUGGUUUAAGCGUUCGAGGCGUUGAGGAGCGGAGAAAACGUUCUGAGCUAAGGCGUGAAUACGAGCUGCUACGGCAGUGAAGUUGGUGAUGUCAUGCUUCCAAGAAAAGCCCUAUACCCGUUAAGGCAUAACUGCCAGUACCCGAAACCGACACAGGUAGGGUGGUAGAGAAUACCGAGGGGCGCGAGAUAACUCUCUCUAAGGAACUCGGCAAAAUGGCCCCGUAACUUCGGGAGAAGGGGUGCCAGCGAGAGCUGGUCGCAGUGAAGAGGCCCAGGCGACUGUUUACCAAAAACACAGGUCUCCGCUAAGUCGCAAGACGAUGUAUGGGGGCUGACGCCUGCCCAGUGCCGGAAGGUUAAGGAAGCCGGUCAGCGUAAGCGAAGCUGGCGACUGAAGCCCCGGUGAACGGCGGCCGUAACUAUAACGGUCCUAAGGUAGCGAAAUUCCUUGUCGGGUAAGUUCCGACCCGCACGAAAGGCGUAACGAUCUGGGCGCUGUCUCGGAGAGAGGCUCGGCGAAAUAGAAUUGUCUGUGAAGAUGCGGACUACGUACACCCGGACAGAAAGACCCUAUGAAGCUUUACUGUAGCUUGGUAUUGUGCUCGGGCUCUGAAUGCGCAGGAUAGGUGGGAGACGUUGAAGUAGUGCUCGUGGGU